rnacentral:rRNA from 1 species
AGGGUUUGAUCCUGGCUCAGAAUGAACGCUGGCGGCGUGCCUAACACAUGCAAGUCGAGCGAGAAAACUCCUUCGGGAGCGAGUACAGCGGCGGACGGGUGAGUAACACGUGAGAAUCUGCCUUUCAGUGAAGAAUACCCUGGAGAAAUCCAGGCUAAUGCUGCAUACGUCCCUUCGGGGAGAAAGAUGGCCUCUUUGCUGUCGCUGAAAGAUGAGCUUGCGGACUAUUAGCUAGUUGGUGGGGUAAAGGCCCACCAAGGCGAUGAUGGUUAGCCGGCCUGAGAGGGUGUUCGGUCACACUGGAACUGAGAUACGGUCCAGACUCCUACGGGAGGCAGCAGUGGGGAAUCUUGCGCAAUGGGCGAAAGCCUGACGCAGCGACGCCGCGUGGGGGAUGAAGGUCUUCGGAUUGUAAACUCCUGUUAAGUGGGAAGAAAAGCUUGUUUCUAAUACAAACAAGCCAUGACGGUACCAUUAGAGAAAGCACCGGCUAACUUCGUGCCAGCAGCCGCGGUAAUACGAGGGGUGCAAGCGUUAUUCGGAAUCACUGGGCGUAAAGGGUGCGUAGGUGGCGUGUUAAGUCAGCUGUUAAAUUCCUCAGCCUAACUGAGGGCAUGCGGUCGAAACUAACAUGCUAGAGGGUGGAAGAGAGAAGUGGAAUUCUCGGAGUAGCGGUAAAAUGCGUAGAUCUCGAGAGGAACACCGAUGGCGAAGGCAGCUUCUUGGUCCAUUCCUGACACUGAGGCACGAAAGCGUGGGGAGCAAACAGGAUUAGAUACCCUGGUAGUCCACGCUGG